GUGCCAGCAGCCGCGGUAAUUCCAGCUCCAAUAGCGUAUAUUUAAGUUGUUGCAGUUAAAAAGCUCGUAGUUGGAUCUUGGGUCGUAAAGGUCGGUCCGCCUACUCGGUGUGCACCUGCCCUUCCGUCCCUUUUGUCGGCGGCGUGCUCCUGGCCUUAACUGGCUGGGUCGCGNNNGAAGCGCUGUUACUUUGAAAAAAUUAGAGUGCUCAAAGCAAGCUUAUGCUCUGAAUACAUUAGCAUGGAAUAACGUGAUAGGAGUCUGGUCCUAUUGUGUUGGCCUUCGGGACCGGAGUAACGAUUAAUAGGGACUGUCGGGGGCAUUCGUAUUUCAUUGUCAGAGGUGAAAUUCUUGGAUUUAUGAAAGACGGACCACUGCGAAAGCAUUUGCCAAGGAUGUUUUCAUUAAUCAAGAACGAAAGUUGGGGGCUCGAAGACGAUUCAGAUACCGUCCUAGUCUCAACCAUAAACGAUGCCGANCCAGGGAUCGGGCGGAUGUUGCUCUAAGGACUCCGCCAGCACCUUCUGAGAAAUCAGAGUGUUUGGGUUCCGGGGGGGNNUAUGGUCGCAAGGCUGAAACUUAAA
rnacentral:rRNA from 1 species